GGUUAAGCGACUAAGCGUACACGGUGGAUGCCCUGGCAGUCAGAGGCGAUGAAGGACGUGCUAAUCUGCGAUAAGCGUCGGUGAGGUGAUAUGAACCGUUAUAACCGGCGAUUUCCGAAUGGGGAAACCCAG
rnacentral:rRNA from 1 species